rnacentral:rRNA from 1 species
UACAGAGGGUGCGAGCGUUGUUCGGAAUUAUUGGGCGUAAAGGGCGCGUAGGCGGUGCGGUAAGUCACCUGUGAAAUCUCCUGGCUCAACUGGGAGCUUGCAGGCGAAACUGCCGUGCUGGAGUGUGGGAGAGGUGCGUGGAAUUCCUGGUGUAGCGGUGAAAUGUGUAGAUAUCAGGAGGAACACCUGUGGCGAAAGCGGCGCACUGGACCACAACUGACGCUGAGGCGCGAAAGCUAGGGGAGCAAACAGG